rnacentral:antisense_RNA from 1 species
CUUCACCGACCCCAACCACAACGGCUGGUCCGCUGGGCGCUCCCGGCCGUAGGUGGCGAGCAGUGCCUGCGCCUC